GACGAACGCUGGCGGCGUGCUUAACACAUGCAAGUCGAACGAUGAAGCCGGAGCUUGCUCUGGUGAAUUAGUGGCGAACGGGUGAGUAACACGUGAGUAACCUGCCCUUGACUCUGGGAUAACUGCUAGAAAUGGUAGCUAAUACCGGAUACGACCCUCGGAGGCAUCUCCAGGGGGUGGAAAGAAUUUCGGUCAAGGAUGGACUCGCGGCCUAUCAGCUAGUUGGUGAGAUAACGGCUCACCAAGGCGACGACGGGUAGCCGGCCUGAGAGGGUAACCGGCCACACUGGGCCUGCGAAACGGCCCAGACUCCUACGGGAGGCAGCAGUGGGGAAUAUUGCACAAUGGGCGCAAGCCUGAUGCAGCAACGCCGCGUGAGGGAUGACGGCCUUCGGGUUGUAAACCUCUUUUAGUAGGGAAGAAGCGAAAGUGACGGUACCUGCAGAAAAAGCACCGGCUAACUACAUGCCAGCCGCCGCGGUAA
rnacentral:rRNA from 1 species